CAAUAGCGUAUAUUAAAGUUGUUGCGGUUAAAAAGUUCGUAGUUGGAUUUCUGCCAAGGACGACCGGUCCGCCCUCUGGGUGAGUAUCUGGCUUGGCCUGGGCAUCUUCUUGGAGAACGUUGCUGCACUUCGCUGUGUGGCGCGGUAUCCAGGACCUUUACUUUGAGGAAAUUAGAGUGUUUCAAGCAGGCUUUCGCCUUGAAUACAUUAGCAUGGAAUAAUAAGAUAGGACCUCGGUUCUAUUUUGUUGGUUUCUAGAGCUGGGGUAAUGAUUAAUAGGGAUAGUUGGGGGCAUUCGUAUUUAACUGUCAGAGGUGAAAUUCUUGGAUUUGUUAAAGACGGACCACUGCGAAAGCAUUUGCCAAGGAUGUUUUCAUUGA
rnacentral:rRNA from 1 species